rnacentral:rRNA from 1 species
CACUCACAAGAUUAAUAACGCGUUUCCUGUAGGAUNNNNNNNNACGACGAUAUGCUUUGGGGAGCUGUAAGUAAGCUUUGAUCCAGAGAUUUCCGAAUGGGGAAACCCAGCAUGAGUUAUGUCAUGUUAUCGAUAUGUGAAUACAUAGCAUAUCAGAAGGCACACCCGGAGAACUGAAACAUCUUAGUACCCGGAGGAAGAGAAAGAAAAUUCGAUUCCCUUAGUAGCGGCGAGCGAAACGGGAAGAGCCCAAACCAACAAGCUUGCUUGUUGGGGUUGUAGGACACUCUAUACGGAGUUACAAAGGACGACAUUAGACGAAUCAUCUGGAAAGAUGAAUCAAAGAAGGUAAUAAUCCUGUAGUCGAAAAUGUUGUCUCUCUUGAGUGGAUCCUGAGUACGACGGAGCACGUGAAAUUCCGUCGGAAUCUGGGAGGAAAGCACCCCGGAAGGGGAGUGAAAUAGAACCUGAAACCGUGUGCUUACAAGUAGUCAGAGCCCGUUAAUGGGUGAUGGCGUGCCUUUUGUAGAAUGAACCGGCGAGUUACGAUUUGAUGCAAGGUUAAGCAGUAAAUGUGGAGCCGUAGCGAAAGCGAGUCUGAAUAGGGCGUUUAGUAUUUGGUCGUAGACCCGAAACCAGGUGAUCUACCCUUGGUCAGGUUGAAGUUCAGGUAACACUGAAUGGAGGACCGAACCGACUUACGUUGAAAAGUGAGCGGAUGAACUGAGGGUAGCGGAGAAAUUCCAAUCGAACCUGGAGAUAGCUGGUUCUCUCCGAAAUAGCUUUAGGGCUAGCCUCAAGUGAUGAUUAUUGGAGGUAGAGCACUGUUUGGACGAGGGGCCCCUCUCGGGUUACCGAAUUCAGACAAACUCCGAAUGCCAAUUAAUUUAACUUGGGAGUCAGAACAUGGGUGAUAAGGUCCRUGUUCGAAAGGGAAACAGCCCAGACCACCAGCUAAGGUCCCAAAAUAUAUGUUAAGUGGAAAAGGAUGUGGCGUUGCCCAGACAACUAGGAUGUUGGCUUAGAAGCAGCCAUCAUUUAAAGAGUGCGUAAUAGCUCACUAGUCGAGUGACACUGCGCCGAAAAUGUACCGGGGCUAAACAUAUUACCGAAGCUGUGGAUUGUCCUUUGGACAAUGGUAGGAGAGCGUUCUAAGGGCGUUGAAGCAUGAUCGUAAGGACAUGUGGAGCGCUUAGAAGUGAGAAUGCCGGUGUGAGUAGCGAAAGAYGGGUGAGAAUCCCGUCCACCGAUUGACUAAGGUUUCCAGAGGAAGGCUCGUCCGCUCUGGGUUAGUCGGGUCCUAAGCUGAGGCCGACAGGCGUAGGCGAUGGAUAACAGGUUGAUAUUCCUGUACCACCUAUAAUCGUUUUAAUCGAUGGGGGGACGCAGUAGGAUAGGCGAAGCGUGCGAUUGGAUUGCACGUCUAAGCAGUAAGGCUGAGUAUUAGGCAAAUCCGGUACUCGUUAAGGCUGAGCUGUGAUGGGGAGAAGACAUUGUGUCUUCGAGUCGUUGAUUUCACACUGCCGAGAAAAGCCUCUAGAUAGAAAAUAGGUGCCCGUACCGCAAACCGACACAGGUAGUCAAGAUGAGAAUUCUAAGGUGAGCGAGCGAACUCUCGUUAAGGAACUCGGCAAAAUGACCCCGUAACUUCGGGAGAAGGGGUGCUCUUUAGGGUUAACGCCCAGAAGAGCCGCAGUGAAUAGGCCCAAGCGACUGUUUAUCAAAAACACAGGUCUCUGCUAAACCGUAAGGUGAUGUAUAGGGGCUGACGCCUGCCCGGUGCUGGAAGGUUAAGAGGAGUGGUUAGCUUCUGCGAAGCUACGAAUCGAAGCCCCAGUAAACGGCGGCCGUAACUAUAACGGUCCUAAGGUAGCGAAAUUCCUUGUCGGGUAAGUUCCGACCCGCACGAAAGGCGUAACGAUUUGGGCACUGUCUCAACGAGAGACUCGGUGAAAUCAUAGUACCUGUGAAGAUGCAGGUUACCCGCGACAGGACGGAAAGACCCCGUGGAGCUUUACUGUAGCCUGAUAUUGAAAUUCGGCACAGCUUGUACAGGAUAGGUAGGAGCCUUUGAAACGUGAGCGCUAGCUUACGUGGAGGCGCUGGUGGGAUACUACCCUAGCUGUGUUGGCUUUCUAACCCGCACCACUUAUCGUGGUGGGAGACAGUGUCAGGCGGGCAGUUUGACUGGGGCGGUCGCCUCCUAAAAGGUAACGGAGGCGCUCAAAGGUUYCCUCAGAAUGGUUGGAAAUCAUUCAUAGAGUGUAAAGGCAUAAGGGAGCUUGACUGCGAGACCUACAAGUCGAGCAGGGUCGAAAGACGGACUUAGUGAUCCGGUGGUUCCGCAUGGAAGGGCCAUCGCUCAACGGAUAAAAGCUACCCCGGGGAUAACAGGCUUAUCUCCCCCAAGAGUUCACAUCGACGGGGAGGUUUGGCACCUCGAUGUCGGCUCAUCGCAUCCUGGGGCUGUAGUCGGUCCCAAGGGUUGGGCUGUUCGCCCAUUAAAGCGGUACGCGAGCUGGGUUCAGAACGUCGUGAGACAGUUCGGUCCCUAUCCGUCGUGGGCGUAGGAAAUUUGAGAGGAGCUGUCCUUAGUACGAGAGGACCGGGAUGGACAUACCUCUGGUGUACCAGUUGUCGUGCCAACGGCAUAGCUGGGUAGCUAUGUGUGGACGGGAUAAGUGCUGAAAGCAUCUAAGCAUGAAGCCCCCCUCAAGAUGAGAUUUCCCAACUUCGGUUAU